GACAGAGGGUGCAAACGUUGUUCGGAAUUACUGGGCGUAAAGCGCGUGUAGGCGGCAUGGCAAGUCGGGUGUGAAAGCCCACGGCUCAACCGUGGAAGGGCACUCGAAACUGCUGAGCUAGAGUCCUGGAGAGGAAGGUGGAAUGCUCGGUGUAGAGGUGAAAUUCGUAGAUAUCGAGCGGAACACCGGUGGCGAAGGCGGCCUUCUGGACAGUGACUGACGCUGAGACGCGAAAGCGUGGGGAGCAAACAGG
rnacentral:rRNA from 1 species